rnacentral:rRNA from 1 species
UACGGGGGGAGCAAGCGUUGUUCGGAUUUACUGGGCGUAAAGGGCGCGUAGGCGGUCGUGACAAGUCACUUGUGAAAUCUCCGGGCUUAACUCGGAACGGUCAAGUGAUACUGUCGGACUAGAGUACAGAAGGGGCAACUGGAAUUCUCGGUGUAGCGGUGAAAUGCGUAGAUAUCGAGAGGAACACCUGCGGCGAAGGCGGGUUGCUGGGCUGAUACUGAGGCUGAGGCGCGAAAGCCAGGGGAGCGAACGGG